rnacentral:rRNA from 1 species
AGGGGAUCUUCGGACCUUUCGCUAUGAGAUGAGCCUGCGUUAGAUUAGCUAGUUGGUAGGGUGAAGGCCUACCAAGGCGACGAUCUAUAGCUGGUCUGAGAGGACGAUCAGCCACACUGGGACUGAGACACGGCCCAGACUCCUACGGGAGGCAGCAGUGGGGAAUAUUGGACAAUGGGCGAAAGCCUGAUCCAGCAAUACCGCGUGUGUGAAGAAGGCCUUAGGGUUGUAAAGCACUUUCAAUUGGGAGGAAAACCUGCCGGCCAAUACCCGGUAGCUUGACAUUACCUUUAGAAGAAGCACCGGCUAACUCCGUGCCAGCAGCCGCGGUAAUACGGAGGGUGCGAGCGUUAAUCGGAAUUACUGGGCGUAAAGCGUGCGUAGGCGGUUCGUUAAGUCAGAUGUGAAAGCCCUGGGCUCAACCCGGGAACUGCAUUUGAAACUGGCGGACUAGAGUUUAGUAGAGGGGAGUGGAAUUUCAGGUGUAGCGGUGAAAUGCGUAGAUAUCUGAAGGAACACCAGUGGCGAAGGCGACUCCCUGGACUAGAACUGACGCUGAGGUACGAAAGCGUGGGUAGCAAACAGGAUUAGAUACCCUGGUAGUCCACGCCGUAAACGAUGUCGACUAGC